rnacentral:rRNA from 1 species
UACGUAGGGGGCAAGCGUUGUCCGGAAUCAUUGGGCGUAAAGAGCGUGUAGGCGGCCCGGUAAGUCCGCUGUGAAAGUCCAGGGCUCAACCCUGGGAUGCCGGUGGAUACUGUCGGGCUCGAGUCCGGAAGAGGAGUGUGGAAUUUACGGUGUAGCAGUGAAAUGCGUAGAUAUCGUAAGGAAGACCAGUGGCGAAGGCGAAUCUCUGGACAGUUACUGACACUGAGGCACGAAGGCCAGGGGAGCAAACGGG